UACGUAGGGUGCAAGCGUUGUCCGGAAUUAUUGGGCGUAAAGAGCUCGUAGGCGGUUUGUCGCGUCUGCUGUGAAGACUCGGGGCUUAACCCCGAGCCUGCAGUGGAUACGGGCAGACUAGAGGUAGGUAGGGGAGAAUGGAAUUCCCGGUGUAGCGGUGAAAUGCGCAGAUAUCGGGAGGAACACCGGUGGCGAAGGCGGUUCUCUGGGCCUUACCUGACGCUGAGGAGCGAAAGCGUGGGGAGCGAACAGG
rnacentral:rRNA from 1 species